AGAAACCUCUGGACUUUUUCUCAUUGUUGGAUGGGAUGACAGUUCCAAUGAAGAAGUUUGCAAUAGCAAUUAGAAGAAUGACCAGAAGAAUCACUUGGGCCUGGAAUGGAAAGUGCUAACUGCAGGAGUUCGAGAAUGCAGAAUGAUGAAUAGAAUUCCUGUGAUUCCCAGUGCACUUGAUGUCAGGCUGCCGCUGUGUGCUCAGCACAACCAGACUGCAAGGUUGACUGGUCAGAUGGUCUUCCUUCAGCCCCUCCAAUGCUGCAAGCUACUGAAAUUCCUAGAAGAAUCACCACUGUGAUGGAGCCUAUAAUCCGGAUGUCAUUGGUUGGAUCCACCAUCAUCGAAUCACUCUCCUGGGGAAACAAAUUAUUAAGUGCCUAGAGAUACAGCUUUUUGCAUCGUUUGGGGUGAGCCCCGAGGCCUGGGUACAGGAGUGGUUUACUGAGUGGGAAUCAUCAGCAAUGCCAUCUGGGGCGUUGGAGAAGACCCAUGCUGAGAGGACCUGCGAGAGAGCCAGUGGGUCUCAUCCAAGAGACAGUCUUGCUAUUUUUUCCAGGCGGGUCUCAAACUCCUGGCCUCAAGUCAUCCUCCUACCUCAGCCUCCCAAGUAGCUGGGACUACAGGCUUGCACUAUUGCACCUGACAGAAUUCCAUCUUUGGAGAAGUUCUAGACACUUAUAAACAUGAUAAUUGGCCUACAAUUCCAAGCUGUCAAGAGUCUUGCUCUGUCACCCAGGCUGGAAUGCAGUGGUAUGAACUCGGCUCAUUGCAACCUCCACCUCCCGGAUUCAAGUCAUUCUCCUGCCUCAACCUCUAGAGUCGCUGGGACUACAGGUGUGCACCACCACGCCCAGAUUGUUUUAAUAGUGUGAGCUCCCCGGGGAACUGGCCCUGAGUACUAAGAAACUCUAACUAAAGUACCAGAAUGAAUCUUAGUUGCAGAGGUUCACUUCAACAAAUAUUUUAGGGGUGGCUUCUGGUCACUGGACUUUAAAGAGUUUAUUGCUUCAAUUUUAAUGUUUAUAUUAUUUGGCUGUUAUUAGCUUAGUA